rnacentral:rRNA from 1 species
CCUACGGGAGGCAGCAGUGGGGAAUAUUGCACAAUGGGGGAAACCCUGAUGCAGCGACGCCGCGUGAGUGAAGAAGUAAUUCGUUAUGUAAAGCCCUAUCAGCAGGGAAGAAAAUGACGGUACCUGUGUAAGAAGCCCCGGCUAACUACGUGCCAGCAGCCGUGGUAAUACGUAGGGGGCAAGCGUUAUCCGGAUUUACUGGGUGUAAAGGGAGCGUAGACGGCAGUGCAAGUCUGGAGUGAAAGGCGGGGGCUCAAACCCCGGACUGCUCUGGAAACUGUACGGCUGGAGUGCAGGAGAGGUAAGUGGAAUUCCUGGUGUAGCGGUGAAAUGCGUAGAUAUUAGGAGGAACACCAGUGGCGAAGGCGGCUUACUGGACUGUAACUGACGUUGAGGCUCGAAAGCGUGGGGAGCAAACAGGAUUAGAUACCCGUGUAGUC